ACGGGAGGCAGCAGUGAGGAAUAUUGGUCAAUGGGCGAGAGCCUGAACCAGCCAAGUAGCGUGCAGGAUGACGGCCCUAUGGGUUGUAAACUGCUUUUAUAAGGGAAUAAAGUGAGCCUCGUGAGGCUUUUUGCAUGUACCUUAUGAAUAAGGACCGGCUAAUUCCGUGCCAGCAGCCGCGGUAAUACGGAAGGUCCGGGCGUUAUCCGGAUUUAUUGGGUUUAAAGGGAGCGUAGGCCGGAGAUUAAGCGUGUUGUGAAAUGUAGACGCUCAACGUCUGCACUGCAGCGCGAACUGGUUUCCUUGAGUACGCACAAAGUGGGCGGAAUUCGUGGUGUAGCGGUGAAAUGCUUAGAUAUCACGAAGAACUCCGAUUGCGAAGGCAGCUCACUGGAGCGCAACUGACGCUGAAGCUCGAAAGUGCGGGUAUCGAACAGGAUUAGAUACCCUGGUA
rnacentral:rRNA from 1 species